rnacentral:rRNA from 1 species
CCCUAGUAACUGCGAGUGAAGCGGGAAAAGCUCAAAUUUAAAAUCUGGUGGUCUUUGGCCAUCCGAGUUGUAAUUUAGAGAAGCGUCUUCCGCGCUGGACCGUGCACAAGUCUCCUGGAAUGGAGCCUCACAGAGGGUGAGAAUCCCGUCUUUGGCACGGACACACCAGGGCUUUUGUGAUGCGCUCUCGAAGAGUCGAGUUGUUUGGGAAUGCAGCUCAAAAUGGGUGGUGAACUCCAUCUAAAGCUAAAUAUUGGCGAGAGACCGAUAGCGAACAAGUACCGUGAGGGAAAGAUGAAAAGCACUUUGGAAAGAGAGUGAAACAGUACGUGAAAUUGUUGAAAGGGAAACGCUUGAAGUCAGUCGCGUCGACCGAGACUCAGCCUUGCCUUGGCUUGGUGUACUUCUCGGCCGACGGGUCAGCAUCAAUUUCGCCCCUUGGAUAAUGGCGAGGGAAACGUGACACCUUUACGGUGUGUUAUAGUCUCUUGUCGCAUGCAAGGGUCGGGAUUGAGGAACUCAGCACGCACCUUUGGGUGUCGGGGCCUUUGCCCACGAUACGUGCUUAGGAUGUUGGCGUAAUGGCUUUAAACGACCCGUCUUGAAACACGGACCAAGGAGUCUAACAUGCCUGCGAGUGUUCGGGUGGAAAACCCGUGCGCGCAAUGAAAGUGAAAGUUGGGACCUCUGUCGUGGAGGGCACCGACGCCCGGACCAGACCUUCUGUGACGGCUCUGCGGUAAAGCAUGUAUGUUAGGACCCGAAAGAUGGUGAACUAUGCCUGAAUAGGGUGAAGCCAGAGGAAACUCUGGUGGAGGCUCGUAGCGAUUCUGACGUGCAAAUCGAUCGUCAAAUUUGGGUAUAGG